rnacentral:rRNA from 1 species
GACGAACGCUGGCGGCGUGCUUAACACAUGCAAGUCGAACGGAAAGGCCCUGCUUGCAGGGUACUCGAGUGGCGAACGGGUGAGUAACACGUGGGUGAUCUGCCCUGCACUUCGGGAUAAGCCUGGGAAACUGGGUAUAAUACCGGAUAGGAGCCAUUUUUAGUGUGAUGGUUGGAAAGUUUUUUCGGUGUAGGAUGAGCUCGCGGCCUAUCAGCUUGUUGGUGGGGUAAUGGCCUACCAAGGCGGCGACGGGUAGCCGGCCUGAGAGGGUGGACGGCCACAUUGGGACUGAGAUACGGCCCAGACUCCUACGGGAGGCAGCAGUGGGGAAUAUUGCACAAUGGGCGCAAGCCUGAUGCAGCGACGCCGCGUGGGGGAUGACGGCCUUCGGGUUGUAAACUCCUUUCGCUAGGGACGAAGCUUUUUGUGACGGUACCUAGAUAAGAAGCACCGGCUAACUACGUG